ACGGUCACAUGACGUUUAAACACAUAUUCCCGUACGAUCAGCAAAGUUAAGCAAUGUCGAGCCUGAUCAGUAACUAGAUUAGUGACCGCUUGGGAAUACCAGGUAGUG